ACACAACAUUGUAAAUCAACUAUACUCCAAUAAAAAUUAAUUUUAAAAAAUAUUCUAUAACUAUGUCUGAGAGGUACAUCUAACUUUUCAGAAUACUUUAGUCAUUAUUGAUGAAUGUUUUUAUAAGAAAUUAGAAGAGAUUCUCCCACCUCUAGAGAAGAAAAAAAUGAAAAUCAAAUGGGAACGAGACAAAUGACUCCCCACCCCAUUAUGGACGGCAGGAAGGAGAUAAAUGAAAAUUCUUUUCAGCACUUUCUAUCUUUCAUCAUGUCCUUACUCCCCUACCCUGUCAGAUCAUUCUUUAAAGAAAAAAAUCAACUAGAAAGUAUAUUACACGGCACUGCAGAAGCCAGAAGACAGACCUGGAGCACAAAAGGUGCAGCAAGAGUCUGAGCAAACCAGUUAAUUUUGCUGGUUGAAUGUAUCGACCAAGCUGACGAACUUUUCAAGCUCUGUAUUUCAAAGACCUAAAUAUUCUCAAAUUAAUAUCUCUUGCAAAGGGUUACCUCCUUUUAUUCACCAUUACUAGAGUGGAGUAUGGACAUUUCAGAAAAUCUCAUGGCAUACUCAGCUAUUUUUAAUCCCCAACCCACCAAAGACACUAUAGUUAUUCAUACUUAAAUUUUGUACCUGUUUUCCUUUGCAAGUUUUGAAUAUUCUCUGACCUGUAAUUCAUUUAUUGGGAUCAUAAAACUUUAAUAACAAAGAGAAAAGUCAGUAGAUAUGGUAUUUUUAGAAAGUUCCUCAGUCAUAUCUGACUCUUUGUGACCCCAUGGACUGCAGUCUGACAGGCUCCUCUGUCCAUGGAUUUCCCAGGCAAGAAUACUGGAGUGGGUUGNNNNNUUCUUUUCCAGGGGAUAGUGCUGACCCAGGGAUUGAACCCGCAUUGCCUGCAUUAGCAGGAGGAUUCUUUACCACUAAGUCACCUGGGAAGCCCGUCCCAUAGUUAGCCUACCACAUUCAAGGGCAAAAAACAGCUCACAAUUGACAAGAUAUACUGCCAUAAGAACCAUAAUUAAAUACCAGACUCAGGUACUGAUUGCUAAAGUGCUCCUUGUGACUGAAAAAAAUUAUUAUAUAUGAAAACCCAGCCUCAUAAGUAGAUGAAAUAUGCAUGGAGUAGAGAAGAUCAGGAGAUAUUCAUGCUAAUAAAUGAACCCUUGUUUUACAAAAGGAGUCGCCUCAUAAUUUAUUUGAAGGAAAAAUUCUUAAAGAGUGUUUAAAAUUAUUCCAUCCAGGAAAACUCUGAGGAACAGACUAUUUUACAAGAUAGUCGAUACAGAUCCAAAAUAGUUAAANNNNNNNNNNNNNNNNNUAACUGCCUCUUGCUAGUCCAACUCUGAGCUUCCCUCGUGGCUCAGCUGGUAAAGAUUCAUCUCUCCAGCUUCAUUUUGUUACCAAUGAAAUUCCACAACCAGGAUGGCACAGAACUCCCCCGUGGAGAUGACCCUGCAGAGGUUGUCUGUUUUAAGCUGCAGUCACUUGCCUGAGACUGCUUGGCAUCUGUUGCCUACCUCCCUGACAGCAGCCCACAGACUCCUCCAGCUCACAGAAGCAUACUUGACAUUGCCAGAGGACAAGC
ensembl:lncRNA